UAUGUCGUAGUCCGGAUUGGAGUCUGCAACUCGACUCCAUGAAGUCGGAAUCGCUAGUAAUCGUAGAUCAGAAUGCUACGGUGAAUACGUUCCCGGGCCUUGUACACACCGCCCGUCACACCAUGGGAGUGGGUUGCAAAAGAAGUAGGUAGCUUAACCUUCGGGAGGGCGCUUACCACUUUGUGAUUCAUGACUGGGGUGAAGUCGUAACAAGGUAACCGUAGGGGAACCUGCGGUUGGAUCACCUCCUUA
rnacentral:rRNA from 1 species